rnacentral:lncRNA from 1 species
AUGCRUCCUGCCUGUCUCCUACACGUCCCAUGCGUGCCUCCUACGUGUUGUGUCCCAUAUGUAUCCCCUACAUCCCAUGCACAUCUCCCACAUGUUCCAUGGGUGUCUCCUGCCUGUCCCAUGCAUGACUCCUCUAUCCCACAUUUCCUGCAUGUCCCAGGUGUGCCUCUGUCCUCUCCGGCAUCCCACACAUCUUCUGUCUCCUACAUGUUCCUUGUGUGUUUCCAUGUCCCUGGUGAGUCCUCUGUGCCCCAUGUGUCUCCCAUACCCCAUCCCUUAAACAUCCGUAUGUGCUGGUGUCCUGUGUCUCCCCUGGCGCUGUGUCCCCUACACAUCCAUGUGUGUCUGUGUCCUGUCUCCCGUGUCCCUGUCUCCUACACAUCCAUGCCUGCUGUGUCCUGUCUCCUGCGCCCUUGUGUCCCCACACGUCCACGUGUGCCUGCGUCCUGCGUCUCCUACACGUCCCUGUCUCUCCCACAUGUCCCACGUGUGACCCUUGCGUCUUCCACACGUCCCAUAUGUGUCCCCUGUGCCCCACGCAUGCCCCAGACGUGUCCCGCUCGUGACUCUC